UUUCCUUUUUGUCACCUCACAAAGCCCUGCUUUGUUUGCUUUAUCUAAGACCUCUGUGCUACCUAGCUAAGUUUGGCUUCCUGUCCAAUGCUGUUCACUCUGUCUCCAUGGAUCCAGCUCAAUUGGAAGAAAAAGCAGAUGAAGGCCUGAAUGUCUACUGAGUUUUCAGUGACUUCCUCAAACUUCUCACUUACCUUUCAGUGCUGGCAUCGUCCAGGUCAUAGGAGAAAGUAGUAGGGGUGACUCAAAUAUUUAGUAUUUGCACAGUAAAAAUGUCCAGCUAUGCCAGUUAACAUCUCUGAAAGGUACGGAUACAAGUUAUCUACAGGGUAACACCUGUAGAUAUGAUGCAACAGGCUUAUGCCAUUGGAGAGUGAAUAGUCAACCUUCUGAAAACAGUGUACACCACCGGAAGGGCAAGAAAAAAAACUACAAUAUAGAACAUCUUUCUGACCUUGAGGUCAGGAAGUCCUCCUCGACAAGACACAAAAAAGAAAAAUCACAAAGGAAAAGAAUGACAACUUGACUCCAUCAAAAUUAAAAACAGGUGCACAUCAGAAUAUACCAUAUAUACAAUUAAAAGAUAAGUAAUGAUAUAGAAGAAACUAAUUGCCUCACACAAAGCAAACUUGGACUGCUUUCUAGAA
rnacentral:lncRNA from 1 species